CUUUGAAAAUUGUGGUCUGUGAUCAUGAAUUGUAAUUUCAAAAUGCAUUGCUAACAAAAAUGCAAAUGGUUGUUUUUUGGAAAGAACAUAACAAAGGGUGAAAAUCCCAUGUGUCAUUUGUCUUUUUUGUGUACGGUGUGCAUUUAAUGAAUCACAUUCUUUGACACUGGAAUGUCAACUGGGUGGUAAAUUUCAUUUAAAGUUGAAUAUGGUGUUGAAACUUAUAGAAAACAAAUACCAUGAGGGAAAUAUGAAAAGGAUUUUGAAAAGAAAAUUAAAAGAGUCUGCAAUUGCUAAAUUGAUAAGCAAACAAAACAUAUGUGUUUGCAAAAUUGUUGUUGUCAUUUGUUUUGAGACAAAUGUUUUGCAAUGGUUUUUGUGUACUUUGCCAAUAUCCAAAUUUGGAAUGAUUACCGUUGGGUAUGAAUGGAAUUUUGUUUGCUUGCAAAGGAAUGUAUUCUGAAGAAUUAUCCUUAAUUUGAUAAUUUGUUUUGUGACAUACGCAUUGUUUGUUUGAACAGCAUUGUUGGAACAAUCGCGCAAUGCUGUGAUUAAUUCACAUGGGCAUGAAUGUUUUGCUUGACCCGUCUUGAAACACGGACCAAGGAGUUUAAUUUGUGUGCAAGUUUAUGAAUGUUACAUUUGUAAAGCAAUGAAAGUACUUUGCUGGGAUAUUUGCACCAGCAACCGAUUAGUUGUUGGACAUAAUUUUGAGUUUGAGCAUAUCAAUUAAGACCCGAAAGAUGGUGAACUAUGCCUGAACAGAAUGAAA
rnacentral:rRNA from 1 species